AAACGGCUUCACACUUCAGGGAACUAUUUGCGUUAUCAGGUUAUCUGCGGUCAUCUCUAUACAGGGAAACAGCUUUGCAUAUGAAAUGGAAACAUCUUUAUCUUUACUAGUGGUGUUACCACUAGUACUAGUACUAGUGCAGGACUCUUGGUGCACAAAGAAAAGCUUUAUGUUUCUGUAAGCAUCCGUUGUUUUACACAGUAUCCGGCUGUACAACAAGAGUCUGAGGGAGACGGAAUACUGUGACCCACAGAAGUGCUCAGGUCAGGGGGCCGGACCCCGACUCCCAUGAGCCUCAGCUGCCGUCGCCAUGGAGAAGGUGCAACUGUCAGAUGCACGUAAAACGGCU
ensembl:lncRNA